GAGGCUGUAGCUCAGUGGUAAAGGACAUGCUCAGCAUGCAUGAGGUUCUGGGUUCAGUCCCCAGCAUCUCCA
rnacentral:tRNA from 1 species